CUAAGGUGAUGAAAAAAUGGUUUUCCUGACAUUCGCAGUUUCCACGGUAGGGGUACGCUCUAUACGAACCUAAUUAGUGCCCUAAAUGUCCGCUAGAUAAUUUUCUUCCUAGGAUGUCUGAUUAG
rnacentral:snoRNA from 1 species